rnacentral:rRNA from 1 species
UACGAAGGGGGCGAGCGUUGUUCGGAUUUACUGGGCGUAAAGGGCGCGCAGGCGGCCGCAUUUGUCAGGCGUGAAAGCCCCGGGCUUAACCUGGGAACUGCGUUUGGGACUGCAAGGCUGGAGUGCGGCAGAGGAGACUGGAAUUCCUGGUGUAGCAGUGAAAUGCGUAGAUAUCAGGAGGAACACCGAUGGCGAAGGCAGGUCUCUGGGCUGACACUGACGCUCAUGCACGAAAGCGUGGGGAGCAAACAGG